AAGUCGUAACAAGGUUUCCGUAGGUGAACCUGCGGAAGGAUCAUUAUUGAAUACUCUUGAUGGGUUGUAGCUGGCUCUUCGGGGCAUGUGCACACUUGUCUUGACUUUAUUCAUCCACCUGUGCACCUUUUGUAGUCUUGUGGGUUGAGAGCAGUCGACUAUCGGAUGGCUAUGGCCUUUCCGGACGUGAGGAAUGCUGAGUGCGAAAGCAUACAGCUCUUCUCAAAUGACUUGCAAAACCUCUCCCUCAAGUACUAUGUAUUCAUAUACCACAUAGUAUGUUGUCGAAUGUGAUCAAUGGGCCUAUGUGCCUAUAAAAAUCAUAUACAACUUUCAGCAACGGAUCUCUUGGCUCUC
rnacentral:misc_RNA from 1 species